rnacentral:rRNA from 1 species
GUAGGUGGCAAGCGUUGUCCGGAAUUAUUGGGCGUAAAGCGCGCGCAGGCGGUUCUUUAAGUCUGAUGUGAAAGCCCACGGCUCAACCGUGGAGGGUCAUUGGACACUGGAGAACUUGAGUACAGAAGAGGAAAGCGGAAUUCCACGUGUAGCGGUGAAAUGCGUAGAGAUGUGGAGGAACACCAGUGGCGAAGGCGGCUUUCUGGUCUGUAACUGACGCUGAGGCGCGAAAGCGUGGGGGGAGCAAACAGGAUUAGAUACCCUGGUAGUCCACGCCGUAAACCGAUGAGUGCUAAGUGUUAGGGGGUUUCCGCCCCCCCCUUAGUGCUGCAGCUAACGCAUUAAGCACUCCGCCUGGGAGUACGGCCGCAAGGCUG